rnacentral:rRNA from 1 species
ACCAACCUGUCCUAGGGUGGGGGACAACCCGGGGAAACCUGGGCUAAUACCGCAUAACGUCUCAUCAUCGCAUGUCGAUGAGACCAAAGGGGGCCUCUGCUUGCAAGCUCCCACCCAAGGAGGGGGUCGCGACGUAUCAGCUUGUUGGUGGGGUAACGGCCUACCAAGGCUACGAUGGGUAGCUGGUCUGAGAGGAUGAUCAGCCACACUGGAACUGAGACACGGUCCAG